GUUAUUUCCCUUUAAAAUAAAGUAAUUUCCCCUGCAUUGACUCAAUCCAAGACAAUACUAAUUUAUCAUAGAUAAUACCGUGAAAAUACUGC